rnacentral:Y_RNA from 1 species
GUUUGGUCCAACUGCAGUGUUGUUUACAACUAAUGGAUCACAACCAGUUAUAGAUUCCUUUGUUCUUUCUCUACUCCCACGGCUUCACUUGACCAGCCUUUA